rnacentral:rRNA from 1 species
UGGGGAAUAUUGGACAAUGGGCGAAAGCCUGAUCCAGCCAUGCCGCGUGUGUGAAGAAGGUCUUCGGAUUGUAAAGCACUUUAAGUUGGGAGGAAGGGCAUUAACCUAAUACGUUAGUGUUUUGACGUUACCGACAGAAUAAGCACCGGCUAACUCUGUGCCAGCAGCCGCGGUAAUACAGAGGGUGCAAGCGUUAAUCGGAAUUACUGGGCGUAAAGCGCGCGUAGGUGGUUUGUUAAGUUGGAUGUGAAAUCCCCGGGCGCAACCUGGGAACUGCAUUCAAAACUGACUGACUAGAGUAUUGUAGAGGUUGGUGUAAUUUCCUGUGUAGCGGUGAAAUGCGUAGAUAUAGGAAGGAACACCGGUGGCGAAGGCGACCACCUGGACUAAUACUGACACUGAGGUGCGAAAGCGUGGGGAGCAAACA